rnacentral:rRNA from 1 species
UACAGAGGUCCCAAGCGUUGUUCGGAUUCACUGGGCGUAAAGGGUGCGUAGGUGGCGAGGUAAGUCGGAUGUGAAAGCUCGGAGCUCAACUCCGAAAUGGCAUUGGAAACUACCUUGCUCGAGGGAUGGAGGGGGGACUGGAAUUCUCGGUGUAGCAGUGAAAUGCGUAGAUAUCGAGAGGAACACCAGUGGCGAAGGCGGUUCUCUGGGCCUGACCUGACGCUGAGGAGCGAAAGCGUGGGGAGCGAACAGG